UACGUAGGGUGCAAGCGUUAAUCGGAAUUACUGGGCGUAAAGCGUGCGCAGGCGGUUUUGUAAGUUUGUUGUGAAAGCCCCGGGCUCAACCUGGGAAUGGCGAUGAAGACUGCAAGGCUUGAAUCUGGCAGAGGGGGGUAGAAUUCCACGUGUAGCAGUGAAAUGCGUAGAGAUGUGGAGGAACACCGAUGGCGAAGGCAGCCCCCUGGGUCAAGAUUGACGCUCAUGCACGAAAGCGUGGGGAGCAAACAGG
rnacentral:rRNA from 1 species